UACGUAGGGUGCAAGCGUUAAUCGGAAUUACUGGGCGUAAAGCGUGCGCAGGCGGUUUUGUAAGUCUGUCGUGAAAUCCCCGGGCUUAACCUGGGAACUGCAUUGGUGACUGGCAGGCUUUGAGUGUGGCAGAGGGAGGUAGAAUUCCACGUGUAGCAGUGAAAUGCGUAGAGAUGUGGAGGAAUACCGGAUGGCGAAGGCAGCCUCCUGGGCCAACACUGACGCUCAUGCACGAAAGCGUGGGGAGCAAACAGG
rnacentral:rRNA from 1 species